GUGGGGAAUAUUGGGCAAUGGGCGAAAGCCUGACCCAGCAACGCCGCGUGAAGGAAGAAGGUUUUCGGAUUGUAAACUUCUGUCCUCAGGGAAGAAGGAAGUGACGGUACCUGAGGAGGAAGCCCCGGCUAACUACGUGCCAGCAGCCGCGGUAAUACGUAGGGGGCGAGCGUUGUCCGGAAUGACUGGGCGUAAAGGGCGCGUAGACGGCUGUCUAAGUCUGGAGUGAAAGUCCUGCUUUCAAGGUGGGAAUUGCUUUGGAGACUGGAUGGCUUGAGUGCGGAAGAGGUAAGUGGAAUUCCCAGUGUAGCGGUGAAAUGCGUAGAGAUUGGGAAGAACACCAGUGGCGAAGGCGACUUACUGGGCCGUAACUGACGUUGAUGCGCGAAAGCGUGGGGAGCGAACAGGAUUAGAAACCCCAGUAGUCC
rnacentral:rRNA from 1 species